rnacentral:rRNA from 1 species
AGAUUGAACGCUGGCGGCAGGCCUAACACAUGCAAGUCGAGCGGUAGAGAGGUGCUUGCAUCUCUUGAGAGCGGCGGACGGGUGAGUAAUGCCUAGGAAUCUGCCUAGUGGUGGGGGAUAACGUUCGGAAACGGACGCUAAUACCGCAUACGUCCUACGGGAGAAAGCGGGGGACCUUCGGGCCUCGCGCCAUUAGAUGAGCCUAGGUCGGAUUAGCUAGUUGGUGAGGUAAUGGCUCACCAAGGCGACGAUCCGUAACUGGUCUGAGAGGAUGAUCAGUCACACUGGAACUGAAGACACGGUCCAGACCUCCUACGGGG